GGAAGGAGACAGGGAUACUGGAGUGAUGGAGGUAGAUAUGUAUAGGGGACAGGGAUACUGGAGUGAUGGAGGUAGAUGUGUAUAGGGGACAGGGAUACUGGAGUGAUGGAGGUAGAUGUGUAUAGGGGACAGGGAUACUGGAGUGAUGGAGGUAGAUAUGUAUAGGGGACAGGGAUACUGGAGUGAUGGAGGUAGAUGUGUAUAGGGGACAGGGAUACUGGAGUGAUGGAGGUAGAUAUGUAUAGGGGGAAGGGGACAGGGAUACUGGAGUGAUGGAGGUAGAUAUGUAUAGGGGGAAGGGGACAGGGAUACUGGAGUGAUGGAGGUAGAUAUGUAUAGGGGGAAGGAGACAGGGAUACUGGAGUGAUGGAGGUAGAUAUGUAUAGAGGGAAGGGGACAGGGAUACUGGAGUGAUGGAGGUAGAUAUGUAUAGGGGGAAGGGGACAGGGAUACUGGAGUGAUGGAGGUAGAUAUGUAUAGGGGGAAGGAGACAGGGAUACUGGAGUGAUGGAGGUAGAUAUGUAUAGGGGACAGGGAUACUGGAGUGAUGGAGGUAGAUAUGUAUAGGGGACAGGG
rnacentral:lncRNA from 1 species